rnacentral:rRNA from 1 species
CUACGGGCUGCUGCAGUGAGGAAUAUUGCACAAUGGGGGGAACCCUGAUGCAGCAACGCCGCGUGGAGGAUGACGCAUUUCGGUGUGUAAACUCCUUUUAUAUGUCAAGAAAAUGACGGUAGCACAUGAAUAAGCACCGGCUAACUCCGUGCCAGCAGCCGCGGUAAUACGGAGGGUGCAAGCGUUACUCGGAAUCACUGGGCGUAAAGGACGCGUAGGCGGGAUAUCAAGUCAGGUGUGAAAUCCUACAGCUUAACUGUAGAACUGCACUUGAAACUGGUAACCUAGAGUAUGGGAGGGGGAGAUGGAAUUAGUGGUGUAGGGGUAAAAUCCGUAGAUAUCACUAGGAAUACCUAAAGCGAAGGCGAUCUCCUGGAACAUAACUGACGCUAAGGCGUGAAAGCGUGGGGAGCAAACAGGAUUAGAUACCCCGGUAGUC